rnacentral:lncRNA from 1 species
GAGGUCAUGGAAGGACGAAGAGUCGUAUAAGACGCAGGGUUUUGUGAUGAUUUUACUAUGAGUAUCCUGCGGUCGUCCGGUGCCGACCGGUACACUUGCCCCCCAGGCUCGAGGUCAUGUAAGGACGAAGAGUCGUAUAAGACGCAGGGUUUUGUGAUGAUUUUACUAUGAGUAUCCUGCGGUCGUCCGGUGCCGACCGGUACACUUGCCCCCCAGGCUCGAGGUCAUGUAAGGACGAAGAGUCGUAUAAGGCUCAGGGGGUUAUUGAAACAAUGCGUGAUAGCUGGCAUCAUUAAUAUGUGGCAGAGAUGUGACGCAUGGAUGGUCGUGAAUUAACUACCGUGUAGGCUCCCUACGCGGGAACUGAUAGCCCUUUACGGGUCGUCCAAGC